AAUAAGUACAGUUUUGCACUAUUCACGUUCAACGUUUGACCGUUCGUCUUAUUUGAAUUUUUUUUAUGAUUAGUAUUUUUAUUGCUAUUAGAUGAUAAAAUAUAAAUAGUACCUAUAUGUGUGACUAAAUAUUUUUAAAUAUUUUAUAAAUUUUUUAAAUAAGACGAACGGUCAAACGUUGGGCACAGAUAUCCACGACUGCGCACUUAUU
rfam:Oryza glaberrima chromosome 5 Oglab05_0154_5, whole genome shotgun sequence.